rnacentral:rRNA from 1 species
GACGAACGCUGGCGGCGUGCCUAAUACAUGCAAGUUGAGCGCUGAAGGUUGGUACUUGUACCAACUGGAUGAGCAGCGAACGGGUGAGUAACGCGUGGGGAAUCUGCCUUUGAGCGGGGGACAACAUUUGGAAACGAAUGCUAAUACCGCAUAAAAACUUUAAACACAAGUUUUAAGUUUGAAAGAUGCAAUUGCAUCACUCAAAGAUGAUCCCGCGUUGUAUUAGCUAGUUGGUGAGGUAAAGGCUCACCAAGGCGAUGAUACAUAGCCGACCUGAGAGGGUGAUCGGCCACAUUGGGACUGAGACACGGCCCAAACUCCUACGGGAGGCAGCAGUAGGAAAUCUUCGGCAAUGGACGAAAGUCUGACCGAGCAACGCCGCGUGAGUGAAGAAGGGUGUCGGAUCGUAAAACUCUGUUGGUAGAGAAGAACGUUGGUGAGAGUGGAAAGCUCAUCAAGUGACGGUAACUACCCAGAAAGGGACGGCUAACUACGUG